GACGAACGCUGGCGGCGUGCUUAACACAUGCAAUUCGAACGAUGACGACCGAGCUUGCUCGGUCUGAUUAGUGGCGAACGGGCGAGUAACACGUGAGCAACCUGCCCUUCACUCUGGGAUAACCUCGGGAAAUCGGGGCUAAUACCGGAUAUGAGCUCCUGUCGCAUGGCGGGGGUUGGAAAGUUUUUCGGUGAAGGAUGGGCUCGCGGCCUAUCAGUUUGUUGGUGAGGUAGUGGCUCACCAAGGCGAUGACGGGUAGACGGCCUGAGAGGGCGACCGGCCACACUGGGACUGAGACAAGGCCCAGACUCCUACGGGAGGCAGCAGUGGGGAAUAUUGCACAAUGGGCGAAAGCCUGAUGCAGCGACGCCGCGUGAGGGAUGACGGCCUUCGGGUUGUAAACCUCUUUCAGCAGGGAAGAAGCGAAAGUGACGGUACCUGCAGAAGAAGCGACGGCUAACUACGUG
rnacentral:rRNA from 1 species